rnacentral:rRNA from 1 species
AUGCAAGUCGAGCGGUAAGGCCCUUCGGGGUACACGAGCGGCGAACGGGUGAGUAACACGUGGGUGAUCUGCCUCGCACUUCGGGAUAAGCCUGGGAAACUGGGUCUAAUACCGGAUAUGACCAUUGAUCGCAUGGUUGGUGGUGGAAAGAUUUAUCGGUGCGAGAUGGGCCCGCGGCCUAUCAGCUUGUUGGUGGGGUAAUGGCCUACCAAGGCGACGACGGGUAGCCGGCCUGAGAGGGCGACCGGCCACACUGGGACUGAGACACGGCCCAGACUCCUACGGGAGGCAGCAGUGGGGAAUAUUGCACAAUGGGCGAAAGCCUGAUGCAGCGACGCCGCGUGAGGGAUGACGGCCUUCGGGUUGUAAACCUCUUUCGACAGGGACGAAGCGCAAGUGACGGUACCUGUAGAAGAAGCACCGGCCAACUACGUGCCAGCAGCCGCGGUAAUACGUAGGGUGCGAGCGUUGUCCGGAAUUACUGGGCGUAAAGAGCUUGUAGGCGGUUUGUCGCGUCGUCUGUGAAAACUCACAGCUCAACUGUGAGCUUGCAGGCGAUACGGGCAGACUUGAGUACUGCAGGGGAGACUGGAAUUCCUGGUGUAGCGGUGAAAUGCGCAGAUAUCAGGAGGAACACCGGUGGCGAAGGCGGGUCUCUGGGCAGUAACUGACGCUGAGAAGCGAAAGCGUGGGUAGCGAACAGGAUUAGAUACCCUGGUAGUCCACGCCGUAAACGGUGGGCGCUAGGUGUGGGUUUCCUUCCACGGGAUCCGUGCCGUAGCUAACGCAUUAAGCGCCCCGCCUGGGGAGUACGGCCGCAAGGCUAAAACUCAAAGGAAUUGACGGGGGCCCGCACAAGCGGCGGAGCAUGUGGAUUAAUUCGAUGCAACGCGAAGAACCUUACCUGGGUUUGACAUACACCGGAAACCUGCAGAGAUGUAGGCCCCCUUGUGGUCGGUGUACAGGUGGUGCAUGGCUGUCGUCAGCUCGUGUCGUGAGAUGUUGGGUUAAGUCCCGCAACGAGCGCAACCCUUGUCCUGUGUUGCCAGCACGUAAUGGUGGGGACUCGCAGGAGACUGCCGGGGUCAACUCGGAGGAAGGUGGGGACGACGUCAAGUCAUCAUGCCCCUUAUGUCCAGGGCUUCACACAUGCUACAAUGGCCGGUACAGAGGGCUGCGAUACCGUGAGGUGGAGCGAAUCCCUUAAAGCCGGUCUCAGUUCGGAUCGGGGUCUGCAACUCGACCCCGUGAAGUUGGAGUCGCUAGUAAUCGCAGAUCAGCAACGCUGCGGUGAAUACGUUCCCGGGCCUUGUACACACCGCCAGUCACGUCAUGAAAGUCGGUAACACCCGAAGCCGGUGGCCUAACCC